GAAGAAACUUANAAGGAUUCCCCUAGUAACGGCGAGCGAACCGGGAACAGCCCAGCUUGAGAAUCGGGCGGCUGUGCCGUCCGAAUUGUAGUCUGGAGAGGCGUCCUCAGCGACGGACCGAGCCCAAGUCCCCUGGAAAGGGGCGCCUGGGAGGGUGAGAGCCCCGUCCGGCCCGGACCCUGUCGCAUCACGAGGCGCUGUCAACGAGUCGGGUUGUUUGGGAAUGCAGCCCAAAUCGGGCGGUAGACUCCGUCCAAGGCUAAAUACAGGCGAGAGACCGAUAGCGAACAAGUACCGCGAGGAAAGA
rnacentral:rRNA from 2 species